GAUGAACGCUGGCGGCGUGCCUAAUACAUGCAAGUCGAGCGAAUGGAUUAAGAGCUUGCUCUUAUGAAGUUAGCGGCGGACGGGUGAGUAACACGUGGGUAACCUGCCCAUAAGACUGGGAUAACUCCGGGAAACCGGGGCUAAUACCGGAUAACAUUUUGAACCGCAUGGUUCGAAAUUGAAAGGCGGCUUCGGCUGUCACUUAUGGAUGGACCCGCGUCGCAUUAGCUAGUUGGUGAGGUAACGGCUCACCAAGGCAACGAUGCGUAGCCAGCAGAAGGGGGUGAUCGGCCACACGGGGACGGAGACGCGGCCCAGCCUCCGACGGGAGGCAGCAGUAGGGAAUCUUCCGCAAUGGACGAAAGUCUGACGGAGCAACGCCGCGGGAGUGAUGAAGGCUUUCGGGUCGUAAAACUCUGUUGUUAGGGAAGAACAAGUGCUAGUUGAAUAAGCUGGCACCUUGACGGUACCUAACCAGAAAGCCACGGCUAACUACGUGCCAGCCGCCGCAGUAA
rnacentral:rRNA from 1 species